rnacentral:rRNA from 1 species
UUUUAUGGAGAGUUUGAUCCUGGCUCAGGAUGAACGCUGGCGGCGUGCCUAAUACAUGCAAGUCGAGCGAACGGACGAGAAGCUUGCUUCUCUGAUGUUAGCGGCGGACGGGUGAGUAACACGUGGAUAACCUACCUAUAAGACUGGGAUAACUUCGGGAAACCGGAGCUAAUACCGGAUAAUAUUUUGAACCGCAUGGUUCAAAAGUGAAAGACGGUCUUGCUGUCACUUAUAGAUGGAUCCGCGCUGCAUUAGCUAGUUGGUAAGGUAACGGCUUACCAAGGCAACGAUGCAUAUGCAAGUCGAGCGAACGGACGAGAAGCUUGCUUCUCUGAUGUUAGCGGCGGACGGGUGAGUAACACGUGGAUAACCUACCUAUAAGACUGGGAUAACUUCGGGAAAC